GUGGGGAAUAUUGGACAAUGGGCGCAAGCCUGAUCCAGCCAUGCCGCGUGAGUGAUGAAGGCCUUCGGGUUGUAAAGCUCUUUAGCCGAUGAUUAUAAUGACUGUAGUCGGAAAAUAAGCCCCGGCUAACUUCGUGCCAGCAGCCGCGGUAAUACGAAGGGGGCGAGCGUUAUUCGGAAUCACUGGGCGUAAAGCGUGCGUAGGCGGCUUUGCAAGUUGGGAGUGAAAGCCCAGGGCUCAACCCUGGAAUUGCUCUCAAAACUGCAAGGCUCGAAUUCGGGAGAGGAUAGCGGAAUUGUCAGUGUAGCAGUGAAAUGCGUAGAUAUUGACAGGAACACCAGUGGCGUAAGCGGCUAUCUGGACCGAUAUUGACGCUGAGGCACGAAAGCGUGGGGAUCAAACAGGAUUAGAAACCCCUGUAGUCC
rnacentral:rRNA from 1 species